rnacentral:rRNA from 1 species
GACGAACGCUGGCGGCGUGCCUAAUACAUGCAAGUUGAGCGCUGAAGGUUGGUACUUGUACCGACUGGAUGAGCAGCGAACGGGUGAGUAACGCGUGGGGAAUCUGCCUUUCAGCGGGGGACAACAUUUGGAAACGAAUGCUAAUACCGCAUAAAAACUUUAAACACAAGUUUUAAGUUUGAAAGAUGCAAUUGCAUCACUCAAAGAUGAUCCCGCGUUGUAUUAGCUAGUUGGUGAGGUAAAGGCUCACCAAGGCGAUGAUACAUAGCCGACCUGAGAGGGUGAUCGGCCACAUUGGGACUGAGACACGGCCCAAACUCCUACGGGAGGCAGCAGUAGGGAAUCUUCGGCAAUGGACGAAAGUCUGACCGAGCAACGCCGCGUGAGUGAAGAAGGUUUUCGGAUCGUAAAACUCUGUUGGUAGAGAAGAACGUUGGUGAGAGUGGAAAGCUCAUCAAGUGACGGUAACUACCCAGAAAGGGACGGCUAACUACGUG